AUUGAACGCUGGCGGCAUGCUUUACGCAUGCAAGUCGAACGGUAACAGGCCGCAAGGUGCUGACGAGUGGCGAACGGGUGAGUAAUGCAUCGGAACGUGCCCAGUCGUGGGGGAUAACUACUCGAAAGAGUAGCUAAUACCGCAUACGAUCUAUGGAUGAAAGCGGGGGACCGUAAGGCCUCGCGCGAUUGGAGCGGCCGAUGUCAGAUUAGGUAGUUGGUGGGGUAAAGGCUCACCAAGCCAACGAUCUGUAGCUGGUCUGAGAGGACGAGCAGCCACACUGGGACUGAGACACGGCCCAGACUCCUACGGGAGGCAGCAGUGGGGAAUGUUGGACAAUGGGCGCAAGCCUGAUCCAGCAAUGCCGCGUGCAGGAAGAAGGCCUUCGGGUUGUAAACUGCUUUUGUACGGAACGAAACGGCUCUGGUUAAUACCCGGGGCUAAUGACGGUACCGGAAGAAUAAGCACCGGCUAACUACGUG
rnacentral:rRNA from 1 species